GAACCAGACACAGUCUCACUGGAUUCCUCCAUAAAACAACCGAGGCAGAUGUGUGGAUGCCAGAUUUGCCUUUCAGGUCUACCUACCGCACCCACCAAGGACUGCUGAAUUGCGGUAUAAGGUCAGGCCUGUGGUCACUCUCUUCUGACACUAGCAAGUUUCUGCAGUAUUGAGCAUGAUGACUUCUCACAACUGCCUAGACGGGGCGUGUGUAAGUGACCACAUCUCUCUCAGCUCAAGUGUGAACAUCACUUCUUAAGAACGAUACCAAAGUCAACAUCUGUUUCCUCAGUUUCUUCCUGUUCUACCCUUGGCAUCCCAACAGUGACCUUGAGCUUCAGUGCAUGCAGACAAAUGCCGGCUACUCAGUAAGGCUGUGUUUAGAUGAAACUGCAUCACCCCUGUAGCAAAUUCAGAAUUAAGUCUCAAGAGUUGCAUACUAAGAUCCUAAGAUUCUGGCUUUGCACCCAAAAGUCUCCUUGACCGCAGUGAGAAAAGGAAUGGGCUCAAGGACCAAAAGUACACUCAGAAAUGAGUCGAUGCAUGAUGUUCUCCAGGGUCAGUAUUUUUCAAGUGCUGCUGUGUUCUUUCAGGGGGAAAAAAAAAAAAGAUUCAUCGAGUUAGAUGGACCAAGUUCCUGUGGGUGCCGUAUGUGCCAUAGAGUGGAAAUUCAAGACCAGAGAAUUAACAGGGUUUGUUGUGUUACAAAGCUGAAGGCAUUUUUAUCCUUAUAUGUGUGUACUCACAGAAAAACAUACUGCACUAAUGAAACACAACUUUAUGUUCCCAGUCAUAUUUAUG